AAGCUGAGGAGCAAGGAAGACAGUUUGAGUACUAAAACCUCAAAAUAGGGAAGCCAACAGUACAGGCUUCAGCCUGGGGCUACAGGACUGGG